AUACGGAGGGGGUUAGCGUUGUUCGGAAUUACUGGGCGUAAAGCGCACGUAGGCGGAUUGGAAAGUUGGGGGUGAAAUCCCAGGGCUCAACCCUGGAACUGCCUCCAAAACUAACAGUCUAGAGUUCGAGAGAGGUGAGUGGAAUUCCAAGUGUAGAGGUGAAAUUCGUAGAUAUUUGGAGGAACACCAGUGGCGAAGGCGGCUCACUGGCUCGAUACUGACGCUCAGGUGCGAAAGCCUGGGGAGCAAACAGGAUUAGAAACCCUAGUAGUCC
rnacentral:rRNA from 1 species